rnacentral:rRNA from 1 species
AACCUGCGGAAGGAUCAUUACUGAGAGUACUGGGCUCUGCCUAGCUACUUUUACCCAUGUUUUCCACGUACCAAAGUUUCCUCGGCGGCUCUGCCCGCCGAUUGGACUCCAUUCAAACCAAUGUAGUUGCAGUCAGCGUCUGAAAAAUUUAAUAGUUACAACUUUCAACAACGGAUCUCUUGGUUCUGGCAUCGAUGAAGAACGCAGCGAAAUGCGAUAAGUAGUGUGAAUUGCAGAAUUCAGUGAAUCAUCGAAUCUUUGAACGCACAUUGCACCUCUCGGUAUUCCGGGAGGUAUGCCUGUUCGAGCGUCAUUUGUACCCUCAAGCUCUGCUUGGUGUUGGGUGUUUGUUCCGCCUUUGCGUGUGAACUCGCCUUAAAACAAUUGGCAGCCGGCGUACUUGUUCCGGAGCGCAGCACAUUUUGCGUCUCAGAUCAAUGUACAUCAGCAUCCAAGAAGCCUUAUUUAACGCUCUUGACCUCGGAUCAGGUAGGGAUA